rnacentral:lncRNA from 1 species
AUGCCUAAAAGCCUGAGGAGUCUUCCUUGUCUCUAUUGGAGAGUCGGAAUCAGUAAAAACAAAACAAAGCAAAACGCAGCCCCGGGUGGUAGCUCAAAGGGCAUGGAUGGGCUCCAAUGGCUCAUGGGCUUCCCCGUGGGGAGAGUGGACUUUGUCUUUGGAGGACAUAGCCUAACGGGUAUCAUUCGCCACCUCCUCCAGCCGUGGGAUGGUAGCUGUGUGAUAUCCUGGCUGCUGCCAUCCUGCAAGCCUGCCUGGGGAGGUGCCGGGAUGUCUCCCUGCCCCGCAGGAGGAAGCCAUGAUAAAUGGACGUGCCCAGUCCCACGUGCUCAGCCCGAGGUCUGUGUACUCACUGUCUGCCUCCCCCGCGCUCCUGUAAGGGCCCCACACACAGACACCCUGCCUGAUCUGUUCACUAUUUUCUUAGCGCCGGAGUGCUUCACACAUGCAGGCGGGGUUUCCCUCACCUGAAAUGCUUGGAAUCAGAAGUGGUUCAGAUUUCAGAGUUUUUCAAACUUGGGAAUAUUUGCGUGGACCUCUCCGUCAGAGCACCCCCAUUCUGAAACGUGAAGUCCCAAACACUCCUGAGUCUACCCUCUGGAGCACUGGGGAUUUCAGAUGGGAAGAGUGGAGACGCUUAACCUGUAGGAAGGAGGUGCUUGGAAAACAGGCAUUCGGCGCUGUGGUGUAGUGGGGUUAAAGCCCUAGUCUGCAGUGCUGGCAUCCCAUAUGGGUGCCAGUUCGAGUCCCGGCUGCUCUACUUCCCAUCCAGGUCUCCGCUGUGGCCUGAGAAAGCAGUAGAAGAUGGCCCAAGGCCUGAGAAAGCAGUAGAAGAUCGCCCAAGUCCUUGGGCCCCUGCACCUGCGUGGGAGACCCGGAAGAAGCUCCUGGCUUCAGAUUGGCUCAGCUCCAGCCAUUGUGGCCAGCUGGGGAGUGAACCAGUGGAUGGAAGACUCUCUUUCCCUCUCUGCCCCUCUCUCUGUGUAACUCUGACUUUCAAAUAGAUAAAUAAAUCUUAAAGAAAGAAAGAAAAUCA